rnacentral:lncRNA from 1 species
UUGAUAUUCACUGAUUUAACUGGAAUGAUGUAGAGCGAACUGGAUUAUGAAAUUUAAACCAUAGAAACUUCAAGAUGUUAACUCAAUAAUGGCACUGGAAUCAAUUAAAAACAGUAAGCCAAUUAACUGAGAUAAAUUUUUUAAAAUCGCUGCCAGAUUACUGUAUUCUUUUCGGCAGAAUUGUACACUUUUUUUAUUUUAUUUAUCAUUGCUUUUGUACUUUGAAUUUUUGAAUGAUUCUUUUUUCUACUCUUUUCUAACACUUUGAAUAUCACAAAUCCAGAAUUUCAGAAUUUUCCAGUGAGUAAAUCAAUUGAAAUAAGGAAAAACAGUAAGCACUUUUUUUCAGAAACA